rnacentral:misc_RNA from 1 species
AAUCAUUGAGAAACUUUUUAAUUUUAUUAAUCUCAGCAAGAUCAUUUCCUGCCAAUAUGACAUCAUCAAUAUAGACCAAAAUGGCAAUAAAAGAGUUCCCUUGUUUAUUAACAAAUGGAGAGUAAUCUGCCUUAGAUUGAACAUAACCAUACUUGACAAGCUCCUUUGAUAAUUUGGAGUACCAUUACCUGCUAGCCUGCUUAAGACCAUAAAGAGAUUUUUGCAAUUUACAAACUUUAUGAGGUGUGGAAGAUUGAAAUCCAGGAGGUAGAAUCAUGUAGACUUCCUCAUCAAGCUAUCCAUGUAAGAAAGCAUUGUUGACAUCUAAUUGGUGGAGAUGCCACUUGUUAACAAAAGCCAAUGCAAGCAGUAAUCUAAUUGUGGUAAGCUUAGCUACUAGGGAGAAAGUAUCAAAAUAAUCCACCCCCUUUGUUUGUCUAUACCCCUUAGCCACAAGUCUGGUUUUAUACCUCUCAAUUGAACCAUCAGACUUAUAUCUUAUUUUAUACACUCAUUUACAUCCAAUUGGUGUUUUAACAGCAGAAAGAUCAACAAGGGCCCAAGUUUGAUUUUUCUCAAGAGCAGUAAUCUCAUUGGCUAUUACCUCUCU